GGAAUAUAUGGAAAAAUAAAAUUCGAGAGAUGGGACGACAUUAAAAUAUAUACAUAUCUUUGAAAGCCUAUUUACGCUUCUGAUCUUUUAAAAUUUGAAGAAUAAUGCGAAACGAAUGAGCUCACAUAGGCCCUGGCCCCCUGUCACCUGGCCCUACAAAAGCAUAACUCAAUUUUGAAAUCUCUUCCACGCUCCCUUCCCAAUUUCCUCUUGGGAAAAUUUGAGAAUCUGCAAAAAUUACGACCACAAGUUGAAUGCCAAACCAAUGGACUAAGGUUCCAAAUUUGAAGGAGAUGAAGAGGAACUGAA
rnacentral:lncRNA from 1 species